UACGGAGGGUGCAAGCGUUAUCCGGAUUCACUGGGUUUAAAGGGUGCGUAGGUGGGCAGGUAAGUCAGUGGUGAAAUCUCCGAGCUUAACUCGGAAACUGCCGUUGAUACUAUUUGUCUUGAAUAUUGUCGAGGUAAGCGGAAUAUGUCAUGUAGCGGUGAAAUGCUUAGAUAUGACAUAGAACACCAAUUGCGAAGGCAGCUUACUACACAACGAUUGACGCUGAGGCACGAAAGCGUGGGGAUCAAACAGG
rnacentral:rRNA from 1 species